UUCCGUGUUGGCCUAGCAUUUAUGUCCUUGCUCAGUUACCAGAAAUUCUGAGCUUCUGAAUUACUACCAUGUGGUUGUGGGCUGCAGCUUCAGGUGUUAAAGCCGAGAGACAGUGGAGACGCUGAAGUUCUACCUUCUUUAUUUGGGGGAUUUCUGAAGUCUAAGCAGAUAGGAGCUGUGUUCCGUUAUGAAGUUCUCUGAUAUUAUCGAGCCAGAUGUGAUUUUCAAGUUGGAACAACAACAAGAGGUGCAGAUAGCAUAGUAAGAAUGGUCAGGUCAGAACUUUCUGGGGAAGAUGUCAAAAGAGGGAAGGAGCAUCAGAAGCCAAUCCACGCAAUAUCCUAGGGGUUAUGAAUAGGUUGAACUAUUUUCAAAUAUUUUUUAAGAAUCAUUUUUCAGAUCCUUAAACCUUUAAAGAUGGCCAAUACCAGAUGAUUCCUCAGAUAU